rnacentral:tRNA from 1 species
UUGGAUGUUGUUCAGUAGUAGAGCACAUGGUUAGCAUGCCAGAAGUCCUAGGUUCAAUUCCUAGCACCAAAA